rnacentral:rRNA from 1 species
UUGGAGAAAGUUUGAUCCUGGCUCAGGAUGAACGCUGGCGGCGUGCCUAAUACAUGCAAGUCGAGCGAACUUUUGGGAGCUUGCUCCCAAAAGUUAGCGGCGGACGGGUGAGUAACACGUGGGCAACCUGCCUAUAAGACUGGGAUAACUUCGGGAAACCGGAGCUAAUACCGGAUAACAUAUGAGACCACAUGGUCUCAUAUUAAAAGAUGGCUUUUAGCUAUCACUUAUAGAUGGGCCCGCGGCGCAUUAGCUAGUUGGUGAGGUAAUGGCUCACCAAGGCGACGAUGCGUAGCCGACCUGAGAGGGUGAUCGGCCACACUGGGACUGAGACACGGCCCAGACUCCUACGGGAGGCAGCAGUAGGGAAUCUUCCGCAAUGGACGAAAGUCUGACGGAGCAACGCCGCGUGAGCGAAGAAGGUCUUCGGAUCGUAAAGCUCUGUUGUUAGGGAAGAACAAGUACCGUUCAAAUAGGGCGGUACCUUGAC